rnacentral:rRNA from 1 species
CCCUUAGAUGUCCGGGGCCGCACGCGCGCUACCCUGAAGGAAUCAGCGUGGCUUUCUCCCUGACCCGAAAGGGUUGGGAAACCCGUUGAAUCUCCUUCGUGAUAGGGAUUGGGGCUUGAAAUUGUUCCCCAUGAACGAGGAAUUCCCAGUAAGCGCGAGUCAUAAGCUCGCGUUGAUUACGUCCCUGCCCUUUGUACACACCGCCCGUCGCUACUACCGAUUGAAUGUUUCGGUGAAGAUUCCGGAUAGGACUUUUUUGAUUUAUUUCAAUUCUGUCUUAAAAGCUAUCUAAACCUCAACAUUUAGAGGAAGGUGAAGUCGUAACA